AAAUGAAUUGACGGGGACCCGCACAAGCAGCGGAGCAUGUGGUUUAAUUCGAAGCAACGCGAAGAACCUUACCAAGAAUUGACAUCUAUAUGCCAACUCACGAAAUUGAGUCUUUCUUCGGAACAUAUAGACAGGUGGUGCACGGUUGUCGUCAGCUCGUGUCGUGAGAUGUUUGGUUAAGUCCAGCAACGAGCGCAACCCUUUUUACUAGUUGCCAAUAUUAAGUUAGGAACUCUAGUGAUACUGCCGUAGAUAAUACGGAGGAAGGUGGGGAUGACGUCAAAUCAUCAUGCCCCUUAUAUCUUGGGCUACACACGUGCUACAAUGGCCAUUACAAAGAGCUGCAAUAUGGUAACAUGGAGCAAAUCUCAUAAAAAUGGUCUCAGUUCGGAUUGUGGGCUGCAACUCGCCCACAUGAAGUCGGAGUUGCUAGUAAUCCCGAAUCAGAACGUCGGGGUGAAUGCGUUCCCGGGUCUUGUACACACCGCCCGU
rnacentral:rRNA from 1 species